AGGGGAACUUUAUACUUGGGGACGAGAUGAGGGGGAUGGUAGGCUGGGCCUUGGCCCUGGGAGGGGCCCAAAUGAAGGAGGUGGACUUAGUAUCCCUUCCAAAGUAAAUGCACUACCUGUUCCUGUUGCUGCUGUUUCCUGUGGUGGUUUCUUCACAAUGGUGUUGACAGAGGAUGGGCAAAUUUGGAAUUGGGGAGGUAAGGAUGUUAUUUCCUUUAUGUAAAUUCUGUGUUCUGUCUUUUCUGUUUUGCAAAUUGCAAUAAGAUUCAACUAUUAAUUUUUCUUUUGAUAGAAUGUUAUGCACAAAUUCUUCAACAUUUAUUUAAUUUCUGAUGCUGCUGCCUUGCCUUUCAUGGCUUCUUAUUAAACAUACAGGUCUAUCUUUCUCCUGCUUGUUUUUGUUCUAUAUUCCUUUUUGUCUUUCUCGCAUUCCAUGUUAAACUAAUUAAAAUAUUUUUUUGUUGCAAUGGUGCCCAAAACCAAAUUAAAUUAUUUUUCAUUCCCCCUCAUCUUGGUCUCUAUUAGCAGCAUAUCUAUUCUCUUAUGAAGGCUUUUUUAAAAAUUUUAUAAAAAAAAUUCCCUUAAGGGUGGGAAGAUGGUUGAGCAAAGGUAAGAAAAAAAAAGGCAACUGAGCCCACCUUAUAAGUUAAUUUCUUUUAAGAGAGUGAUAAAUGACAACUUAUUUGCUCUGCGUGUCGUUUAUAUCUUUUGAUGUGGAAUUGCAACAUUUGACAUUUCUCAUGAAGUCUUCUUUUUUAUGUUUUUUCUUUUUUUUGAAUUGUGCCUUGGAUUCUUGGUUUUGGUCAAUGAAUCAAAUAUUUUUCUGAGUAGUAUUUGACAACUACCUUUUUAAUAAUGCACUGCACUUCAAAAUCCAUAGGGCCUCUGUUUUGUUGCAACAAUAAAAUUCUUGGACUUGUAAUCUUAAGGGCAUAAGUUUGAGUCUUGACCUUGAGAGCAGUUUUUGCAACUGAAUAUGUUAAGGUUAUGACGGCCUCCUAUUCCUUUUUGCCUGAGCCCAAAUUCAAGGCAACUAUAACUGGGUAAGAGCUUUUUACUUCAAAAUCUUUCCAAUUUAGGUAUUCUAUGAUUUCAUUUUGUUCUGUGAUAUUUUUAAGUUAGUAGAUACGUAUUCAUCCAUUUAAAAAGUGGUGGCAAAUGCUUCACUUUUAUGUAAACAGUGUCAUGCUGUUAUGAAAUUUGUUUUCUAUAUAUCAAAUGAAGACAGGAAAUUCUUAAGAUCUAAAAUUUGAUUGUUAAGUGGUGUGUUAUUGACAUAUUUUGCCAAUUUUGAGAAAUUGAACAGUUUGUAGCACUAAAUAAACAACUUAAUUAUAGUGUCUUGGUCUUUUGCUCAGCAAACUCAAACUAUGAGCUUGGAAGAGGUGAUAAGAUUGGCAGUUGGAAACCAAAACCAAUUCCUAGUCUUGAAGAUGUUCGUAUUAUUCAGAUAGCAAGCGGUGGAUAUCACUCAGUUGCCUUAACUGAUGAAGGUAAAAUUCUUUCAUGGGGCUUUGGUGGACAUGGUCAGCUGGGCCAUCCUUCAAAUCAAAACCAGAAAAUACCAGUGGUGAUUGACGCUUUAGCUGAUCAACGCGUUGUUUAUAUUGCCUGUGGAGGUUCAUCUUCAGCAGCUGUAACUGAUAAAGGGAAGCUUUACAUGUGGGGAAAUGCCAAAGAUUCUCAAUUGGGGAUUCCAGGUCUGCCAGAGGUGCAACCAUGUCCUGUUGAGGUCAAUUUUCUAAUGGAGGAUGAUGAUGACCUGGGACCCCACAAUGUGCUGUCUGUUGCUGUUGGUGCAUCUCAUGCAAUGUGUUUGGUUUUGCGAUCAGGCCGACCGAUAUAAUUGUUCCUCUGGUUUUAAGGUUUAUAAGAGUCUGCAGUACAGAGCUUCAAAAGAUAGAUGCAUAGAGAAAUGUUUGAUGAGCUGAACCAAGAAUGACUAGCAAAUGAGAAGUGUUGCAUUUCAUUGGGACACCUAGAAGCUUGAUGUGAAUCUUUCAAGUGCUAUGAGGAUUCUGUUGUGAUCUCUUCAUUCUUGGGAUUAGAUAGAUGUUCAUUUAAUAAACUGGGGAGUUAUCAAUUGAUUUGAUACUGAUGCACCAAUUGUUAGGUACUUCCAGUUUCAUAGUCUCGUUUAAUGUGACCAUUGUUCCAUCUCAUAUGUAUUUUCUUUGUUAUUUCUUAGGCUAGCACAAUUAUGUCUGCUCAAAACUCAAAGCACAAUGUAAGUGGCCGUUGCAGUGCUUUUUCAUGGCACAAAUCGAUGAUGAACAUUUUGUUUUGAG
rnacentral:misc_RNA from 1 species